rnacentral:rRNA from 1 species
UACAGAGGGCUCAAGCGUUGUUCGGAUUCAUUGGGCGUAAAGGGUGCGUAGGUGGCGCUGUAAGUCGGGUGUGAAAUUUCGGAGCUUAACUCCGAAACUGCAUUCGAUACUGCGGUGCUUGAGGACUGGAGAGGAGACUGGAAUUCAUGGUGUAGCAGUGAAAUGCGUAGAGAUCGUAAGGAAGACCAGUGGCGAAGGCGGGUCUCUGGACAGUUCCUGACACUGAGGCACGAAGGCCAGGGGAGCAAACGGG